CCUACGGGUGGCAGCAGUGAGGAAUAUUGGUCAAUGGGCGCGAGCCUGAACCAGCCAAGUAGCGUGAAGGAUGACUGCCCUACGGGUUGUAAACUUCUUUUAUAAAGGAAUAAAGUGAGGCACGUGUGCCUUUUUGUAUGUAUUUUAUGAAUAAGGAUCGGCUAACUCCGUGCCAGCAGCCGCGGUAAUACGGAGGAUCCGAGCGUUAUCCGGAUUUAUUGGGUUUAAAGGGAGCGUAGAUGGGUUGUUAAGUCAGUUGUGAAAGUUUGCGGCUCAACCGUAAAAUUGCAAUUGAUACUGGCAGCCUUGAGUACAGUUGAGGUAGGCGGAAUUCGUGGUGUAGCGGUGAAAUGCUUAGAUAUCACGAAGAACUCCGAUUGCGAAGGCGGCCACCUGGACCGGUAUUGACGCUGAGGCGCGAAAGCGUGGGGAGCAAACAGGAUUAGAUACCCUAGUAGUC
rnacentral:rRNA from 1 species